rnacentral:rRNA from 1 species
CAGAGUUUGAUCCUGGCUCAGGGNUUAACGCUGGCGGCGUGCCUUACACAUGCAAGUCGAACGGGGCAGCGGGAGUACUUCGGUAUGAAAGCUGCUUAGUGGCGAACGGGUGAGUAACACGUGGAAACCUACCCAACGGCGGGGGACAACAGCUGGAAACGGCUGCUAAUACCGCAUAAGAUCCGCAAGGAAGAAAGGCCCUACGGGGUCGCCGGCGGAGGGGUCCGCGUCCCAUCAGGUAGUUGGUGAGGGUAAAGGCCCACCAAGCCAACGACGGGUAUCUGACGUGAGAGCGUGAACAGACACAAGGACACUGAGAAACGGGUCCUACUCCUACGGGAGGCAGCAGUGGGGAAUAUUGGGUAAUGGGCGAAAGCCUGACCCAGCGACGCCGCGUGAUAGAAGGAGUCCUUCGGGAUGUAAAUAUCUUUUUAUUGGGACGAAUAAAGCCAAGAGGGAAUGCUUGGCAGAUGACGGUACCAAUGGAAUAAGCCCCGGCUAACUACGUGCCAGCAGCCGCGGUAAGACGUAGGGGGCGAGCGUUACCCGGAAUCACUGGGCGUAAAGGGAGCGUAGGCGGGAGUAAAAGUCAGAUGUAAAAGUGCAGAGCUUAACCCUGGUGAAGCGUUUGAAACUAAACUUCUUGAGGGUAGUAGAGGAAAAGGGAAUUACCGAUGUANGGGUGAAAUCCGUANGUAUCGGUAAGAAGGCCGGUGGCGAAGGCGCUUUUCUGGACUACACCUGACGCUGAGGCUCGAAAGCCAGGGGAGCAAACCGGAUUAGAUACCCGGGUAGUCCUGGCCGUAAACGAUGCUCACUAGGUGUGGGGGCUGCAGAGGCCUCUGUGCUGAAGCAAACGCAAUAAGUGAGCCGCCUGGGGAGUACGUCCGCAAGGAUGAAACUCAAAGGAAUUGACGGGGGCCCGCACAAGCGGUGGAGCGUGUGGUUCAAUUCGACGCUAAGCGAAGAACCUUACCAGGUCUUGACAUGUAUGUGGUAGUGAACUGAAAGGGGAACGACUAUACCUUAGGGUAUAGAGCAUACACAGGUGGUGCNUGGUCGUCGUCAGCUCGUGCCGUGAGGUGUUGGGUUAAGUCCCGCAACGAGCGCAACCCCUAUUGUUAGUUGCCAGCACGAAGGUGGGCACUCUAACGAGACUGCCGCCGAAGAGGCGGAGGAAGGAGGGGAUGACGUCAGAUCAUCAUGCCCUUUAUGACCUGGGCUACACACGCGCUACAAUGGGAUGAGCAGAAGGGGACGAGGCUGCGAAGCCAAGGGAAUCCGAAAAACAUCCCCCAGUUCAGAUUGCAGGCUGAAACCCGCCUGCAUGAAGCCGGAAUCGCUAGUAAUCGCAGAUCAGCAUGCUGCGGUGAAUACGUUCCCGGGCCUUGUACACACCGCCCGUCACACCACCCGAGUUGGGAAUGCCUGAAGAUGGUGGAAGCCAACCUGCAAAGGAGGCAGCUAUUUAAGGUAGGCUUAGCGAGGGGGGUGAAGUCGUAACAAGGUAACCGUA